UUCUACUUGAAUCCGAUACGAGUCAACUAAAGUGACCUUGCUAAUACCACGGGACUCGAGGCUGCCUCACACGUUCCCCUCCCCUCGAUCAAUAAAAUUCCUUUAACCCGAAUCUUAUACAAACAUAAGCACACAGACAUAUACAUAAACAUACCUUAAAGGUCUUAUGUUCGUAAGAUGAGGGUUUCAUAUGAAACCUUAGGCAUCACCCUUGUUUUCUCUCCUCUGCCAAGUCACGAUGGCCAGAAGAGGAAAGUUUUCAGGCCAAUUCAGGCCUUUGCAGUCGAUGCUAGUCUUUUUUUGGGCAAAACAUUUAAUGCUUUGCCCUCUCUCCACCUCUACUCAGCCAAACAAGUUUGAGGGAGGAGAAAAAGCUUCAAUUCCAAUCUUGACAAGAGGCUGCAUAUAGAAAAGGUUCAUUCUUCCACAAAGAUGAGAUAUCAGCCACUGCUUCAUAAACAGUUAGAUAUAUUCCAUUUAAUCCGAAGCCCUCAAGAGCACUAGAUUCAUGCAACUUUUCCAUAACAUUCCCACCUGGAUUUGCCAGCACAAGCUGAAAAGUGAAAAAGGACAACAAAUGUUUGUAAGAAAAAUAUUUGACUAAUGAAGGGAAACAAAGAAGCAUAUUUUAUGUGGCUGAUGGAUUUACCUUAAGAGAUCGUUUAUCCAGCGUCCUUCUUAGUUCACAUAUAGUGUCGAUUCCACUUGAAUCUAUGGUUGAUACAGUUGGUGAAGGAAGACAUAAUUUUGUUACUCAACAUAUUGGAUACAAAAGAUGAGCAAAUGUUGUCAUUUUUUUUUUCUUCAACUGACCUGUCAUGUCGAUAAUUACACAUUUGAUUGCAGUUUCUUUGUUGGCUGCUAUCCUCUCU